rnacentral:rRNA from 1 species
GUCCUAUUGUAUUAUUUAAUAGGUCUGGCCUGCCCAGUGAUAAUUUCAACGGCCGCGGUAUAUUGACCGUGCAAAGGUAGCAUAAUCAUUAGUCUUUUAAUAGGAGGCUGGAAUGAAAGGUUUAACGAGAAAUUGACUGUCUCAAUUACAAUCUUGAAUUUAUCUUUUGAGUCAAAAGACUUAAAUAUAAUUGGUGGACGAGAAGACCCUAUAGAGCUUGACAAUUAUUUUUUUAUAUUUACUUAGACUGAAAUUAUUUAUUUAUAUUAAAAAGAUUGUUUUGUUGGGGUGACAAUAAAUAUAUAUUUAACUUUUAUCAUAAUAUUAACAUUAAUUUAUGACUUUUGGAUCCAAAAAUUUUGAUCAUUAGAUUAAGUUACCUUAGGGAUAACAGCGUAAUCUUCCCUCAGAGUUCAUAUUUACGGGAAGGGUUGCGACCUCGAUGUUGGAUUAAGAUAAUAAUUAGGUGCAGUAGCUUAAUUAAUAGGUCUGUUCGACCUUUAAAUUCUU